rnacentral:rRNA from 1 species
UGUUACCUACGGGGCGCAGCAGUGAGGAAUAUUGGUCAAUGGACGAGAGUCUGAACCAGCCACGUAGCGUGAAGGAUGACUGCCCUAUGGGUUGUAAACUUCUUUUAUAUGGGAAUAAAAUGUUCCACGUGUGGGAUUUUGUAUGUACCAUAUGAAUAAGGAUCGGCUAACUCCGUGCCAGCAGCCGCGGUAAUACGGAGGAUCCGAGCGUUAUCCGGAUUUAUUGGGUUUAAAGGGAGCGUAGGUGGAUUGUUAAGUCAGUUGUGAAAGUUUGCGCCUCAACCGUAUA